AUAUAAGCCUGAUGGGAACGUCCCCAAUUUUUUAUUGGGUAAAAGUGGAUGGCAGGAGCGAAG
rnacentral:sRNA from 1 species